ACAGAGCAAAAUCCUGUCUCACAAAAAAAAUAAAAAAGACAAUGUAGGAAGACUGGGGUGAACUAUAACAUUAAGGACACCAUAUAUAUGCCCUUGUGAAAUCCCCUCCCACAUGGACUUUAGGCCUGGCUAUGAGAUUUGCUUUGGACAAUGACGCAAUAAUACUGAAAUAUAGGCAGAGGCUUCGCAUGUGCUUGUACAUGGACUUUCCCCCUUGGAAUGCUGCUGCCAUCACCACGUGGAAAAGCCAGAUCCGGCCCUCCUGAGGCGGAGUAAUCACAGGGAGAGAGAGGCCCAGCUGGCCCACUAGCUGAAUGUAGCCAAUGAGGGAGCCCAAGCAAGAUCAGCAGAACUAUGCGGCCAAAGCGGAGAAACCUCCCCUUGCUUAAGCAUCAUCUGAAUCCAGCCCCAUGUACUCUUCUGAAGCUCCUGUUGGUACGUGCUUGUCUAGGUCUUACAUCUUCUUUGGGGAACAGUCAUUUACCUCUACCCAUCAGGCAGCCUUCUUGAGGAGCAGGUGCAGAGAGAGACAAAGCUGGAGCAUAAGAUGUGAAAGGAAGGGAGAGGAAGUAGGACUGGUAAGAGAAUGAAGUCAAAUUCCAGUACAGGUCCAAUAAAGCUUUGGCCAGCCUCGCUAAGAGCUCUGGAGUGAAUACUGCCCAUCAGAGGUGUCCAGUGGUGGCCAUAAUGGCUGAGCCUUUAUAGUCCAGCCUUGCUUAAUCACCCAGUUUAGGCUGCAGAGAGCAUGACUGUGGGCAAGGCCAUUGUCUGCGAUUGAAGCAGAGUCUGAUGGAACUGACAACUGGAGGUAGUCUUUGCAGCUUGGGAGCAAGUCCCUCCUUGAAGGGGGAUCUGGGCAGCUCAUCUCCAUAUCUACCACAAGGGCAAACAGAUACCCAGCAUAUUCUCUUUUCAAGGAACCAAAAGCUGUACAGUACUUUUCCAUUUUUCAUCUUUUGGGGAUAUCUUCACCAGCUGGGGAUUUUUUUUUAACCUGGUAAGGGAGGCAUAGCAGAGAAUGCUAUUUGUCCUCUAAUAUCCAUUCUAUCCUUCUUCCUUAAUAUUAUAACCCCUGAUUUUUAGUUGGGUAUAUAGCCACCCAGAAUAAUGUUGUCAAAUGACUAAGUUCUGGCCAAUGGGCUAUAAGUAGGAAUGGUGUGUACAGCUUCCAGGAAGUAUCCUUAAAGAGAGGGGACCAUGGUCAUCUCUGUCCUUUUUUCUUUCCUGCAUAGGACUGUAGACAUGAUGGCUGGAAUUUAAACAGCUAUAAAGGACCGAAAGGUAGAAGCCACAUGUUGAGAAUGGAAGAAAUUAAUUAGGUCCCUGAUGGUCACAGAACCACCAUACUAAUCUAGACUGCCUACUUCUGCAUUAUGUAUACAUGAUAAAGACAUGAAUAUUAAUUUUAGCUAAGGACACUUAAAAAUAUUCUGUUACUUAUAAACAAACCUAUUCCUAUCGGAUGCAGAGUUUGGUUCCUAUAAAUUUGUGCUACACAUAACCUUAAAAGAAAUGUGGUUUUUAGUGGAAGCAUUUGGGCAGUGGGUGGUAAAGACUCAGAUACUGCAAGAUGGAAAACUGGUGACCUUUGUUCUCCAGUUGCCAGACAUUUGGUAAACCUGUUGCCAGCUUUAGAAGACAGAUCACACGCCAAUCAAAAUUGUGGCACGAAGGGAAAUGGCUGGAAAUAUCUAUAAACUUGGUAUUUGCUGGCUUUUUCUUGACACUUUAAACCAAGUUCUAUGAGAUAUGAAUUCAGGCCAGAAGUAACCAAUUUGCAUGUAGAAAUGGAAAAGAAUACAGUUUUGCUAAAGGAGAAAUUCUGCUGUAAUCCAAGUGGAUUAAAAGUCUCAUAAUUUGGGCGGGACGUGGUGGUUCAUGCCUGUAAUCUCAGCACUUUGGGAGGCCGAGGCGGAUCACGAGGUCAG
rnacentral:lncRNA from 1 species